GACGAACGCUGGCGGCGUGCUUAACACAUGCAAGUCGAACGGAAAGGCCCUGCUUUUGUGGGGUGCUCGAGUGGCGAACGGGUGAGUAACACGUGAGUAACCUGCCCUUGACUUUGGGAUAACUUCAGGAAACUGGGGCUAAUACAGGGUAGGAGCUCCUGAUGCAUGGGGGGGGUUGGAAAGUUUCGGCGGUUGGGGAUGGACUCGCGGCUUAUCAGCUUGUUUGUGGGGUAGGGGCUUACCAAGGCUUUGACGGGUAGCCGGCCUGGGAGGGUGAACAGCCACAUUGGGCCUGAGGUACGGCCCAGACUCCUACGGGAGGCAGCAGUGGGGAAUAUUGCACAAUGGGCGGAAGCCUGAUGCAGCAACGCCGCGUGCGGGAUGACGGCCUUCGGGUUGUAAACCGCUUUCGCCUGUGACGAAGCGUGAGUGACGGUAAUGGGUAAAGAAGCACCGGCUAACUACGUG
rnacentral:rRNA from 1 species